rnacentral:misc_RNA from 1 species
GUUCUAAGAGAUACAAAGUGAACGAUUGUAUCUAUUGUAAAAGAUAUAAGUGAACAGAUGUAAUUAUUCUAAUAGAUACAAAGUGAACUAUUGUAUAUGUUUGAAGAGAUGCAAAUGCUUUAUAAAUAGUAGUUUAGAACAAAAAUUUAUUAACUUUUCUUUUUUGUCUCUUCUCUUCAAUUUUACCGACAAUCAACAUUAUUAUUCUUUAAUUUAUUCUUGGGAGAAUUUUAAAAUUGUUGUCUAGAUUUAUAUUUUGGUUAUUAUCCUUGAGGGAUCUGCCUAAAACUACCCAGCUAUAACAUAGUGGGGGUUUUACUCUUUUUCAAUUUCAUUAUAUUGAGGGAAGUAAAUACUCCAUAUGAUAUUUAUUACAAAUUGACUGGAAAUUUUGCUAGAAUAAUUAUUCAAAUUGAGUGUGCUAGUGCUAUUGGUAGCUUAAUGUAUGUUAUGCAUUGCACUACUCCUGAUAUUGCUUUUGCAAUGUAUAAAUUGUCAAGAUAUACUAAUAAUCCUAGUGUGGAAUAUUGAAAAGAAAUUUCAAGGGUUUUUGGAUAUUUAAAAAAGGAAUUAUAAACUAUAGAUUAUUCUGUGAUAAGUUUUCAGUUGUAUAAAAACCAUAUAAAGAAUUGUAUCUAUGCAAAGAGUUAUGUCCCUUCGCCAAAAGAUGUAACUAAAUGAAAAGAUGCAAUUCUUCUAAAUAGUUACAUGCAUGAAGAGAUGAACUAAUUGGCCAAAAGGUUGGUACAUUUUGAGUAGUAAAAAUAAGAGCCUUACAAGUCAUUUGUAAGAAGUGACAAAAGAACAAAUGAGUAUGCAUUUGUGUGUGUGUGCAAGUUUAGCUUGGUUCUUUAUUGUUGGAUACUCUCAUUUUAAACAAGUUAUGGAGCAAUUUAUUUCUGCAAAUAAGGUACAAACCUAGACUGUGAAUUAUUUAUGCAGUUCAUGUUAUAAACAUGUGAUUAUAUGGUUGACUAGUGAAACAAAUAUGGUUGGAGAUCCUAAAGUGUUAUAAAUACCAAUUGGAUAUGUAUUACUAAGGAUAAUAAGUCAACUUUUAGUUGGGUGUCCACUUUAGGUGGAGGUUUUGUUUCUUGGGCAUCAAAGAAACAAACUUGUAUAACUUAUUCUACUGUAGAACCCGAAUUUAUAACUUUGGCGAAUGUAGGUAAAGAAGUAGAAUGGCUGAGAAACUUGUUAUCGGAUAUUAAGCUGUGGCCACAACCUGUGCUAUCUAUUUCUUUAUAUUGUGAUAGUCAAAUCAUGAUGGUUAAAGCUUAUAGUAAAAUAUACAAUUGAAAGUAUAUAUAUAUAAGCUUAAGACAUGAAAAUGUAAGACAAUUAGUCUCUAAUGGUGUUAUUACCAUGGUUAUGUUAAAUCCUAUAAUAAUCUAGCAAAUCCUUUAAUAAAAGGGCUCUCGAGAGUUAUGAUCAUAAGCACAUGUGCUGAUUAGGAUUUAGAAUAUUCCAUUAAAUUUACUAAUGAUGGGAACCCUACUUUAUAGUAUUAUUACUAAAUAAAGUUUAAAGGGUAACAACAAGUCAUUAGUAAAUGUUGUAAUUACGUAUUUAGUGUACUAAGUUAAUGGAAUGGGGAUGAGUUUUUAUACUCUUAAUGAAGUUUAAUAUUAAUACAAAAGAAACUUCACCUAUAUGAACAUAAUUUUGGUGAACUUUUUAAGUCAAACUAAUUGAUUCGUGUGUGUAGUAUUUCCGAUUCUAUUUAAUAGGAAUCUAAGUUUAAGCUAAGGCCACCAUGAUUUCUUUAGAACUUUGAAAUACUUACACUAAGGAAAAGUUUAAAUCGAAAGAUACUUUUCAUUAUGCAUGAAACAAUGGGAUCUAACAAUACAAGCUAAGUGGGGGAUUGUUAUAAAUAGCUUGUAUGUUAGAUAGUAUAGAGAGAAAGAAUUUCUAUAUUGUUAAAAUAUAAGAAAGUGAAGGAAUGGUAAGAGUGAAAUAUGUAUAGAAUUAUAUAUAUAUAAUUCAAUAUAUAUUAUUCUAUUAUGGCACUUGACAAGUAUAUGUGUGAAAUAAAAUAAUUAUCAUAUUGUAAUUUUCGUAAAUAAUUUACGAACAAAUGUGUUUAUUAACAAGUAGAUGUGUCUGUUAAUAGACAGACAUAUCAAUUCUAUACAAACAGUCACAACUGUUUGUAUAGGUAUCUGUUAAUAAACAGACAUGUCUAUUCUAUACAAAUAGUCACAACUAUUUGUAUAGGUAUCUUUUAAUAAACAGACAUGUCUAUUACACAAACAGUUGUAUCUAUUAGAGAUAAACAGAUGUGUAUCUAGAAAAGGUGCCAUGACUUUUCAUUCUUUAUAAAUAUGGAUGAGUUUUUUCAAUCCAGAUAUACUACUUCUACUUCUUCUUCUCUUCUUCUAAUCUCUCUAAAUUCAGUUCAUAUAAAGAGUUCUUAAGGGAAAUCUUCAGGAGUUGCUGUCUGCAGAUUUCAGGCUUUGUUGUAUCCUGGAGGUAUAUUGCCAUAACCUUGCAGCAAUCUAGUGGGGGCAAUUAAUACCUUAAAGAUAGUGAUUCAUCACGCCUCAAAGCCUAUUCUACACCCACUGCCUCAACAAUUUUAAGGUAUUAAUCGCAAUGGAGUCCAAGGCUGUUUCCAUGAUGAAUCAAGAGUUUAUGAAACUUGAUCGUUUUGAUGGGACAAACUAUGUUCGCUGGAAAGACAAGAUGCUAUUCUUACUCACCACAUUGAAGAUUUCUUAUAUACUUGAUCCAAGUCUGCCUGCCAUUUCACCACCAACUCCAGAAGAUUCUGAACAAGUGAAAGCAGAUCGAGACAAACGUGAAGAAGAUGAAUUGCUAUACAGAGGUCAUAUUCUUAACAACUUGUCAGAUAGGCUAUAUGAUCUAUUUACUUCUGUCAAGUCUCCAAUAGAAAUCUAGAAAUAACUGGAGUUCAAAUACAACUCAGAAAAAUAAGGUGUGGAUAAAAUUUUCAUCAUGAAAUAUUUUGAAUUCUAAAUACUUGAUAAUAUGUCUGAAGAAAUAUAAGGUUAUAUUAUGAUGCUAAAGCUCAUGGUGAAUGUGAUAAAGAAGGUAAUAAGAUUUAUGUGCAUAAGUCGAAAAACACUUUUAUAUGCAUAAAUCCUAAUUUAUAUUAAUUGUGUCUAUCACUAACUAGGUGGAGAUAUUGUUAAAAAUAUUAGUGAUAAUAAAAUUUAUCUCAUUUUGAAAGAGUUAUGUAUGUUCAUUAAAAGGCAUCAAAAUGAACUAUUCAUUACCGAUAGCUAUAUCUAUUUUAAGAGGUAUAGGUGAAUAGUUGUAUCUAUUCUAAGAUGUAUAAGUGAACAAUUG